rnacentral:rRNA from 1 species
UACGUAGGGGGCAAGCGUUUGUCCGGAAUUAUUGGGCGUAAAGAGCUCGUAGGCGGUCUGUCGCGUCUGCUGUGAAAACUCAGGGCUUAACCCUGAGCUUGCAGUGGGUACGGGCAGACUAGAGUGCGGUAGGGGGAGACUGGAAUUCCUGGUGUAGCGGUGAAAUGCGCAGAUAUCAGGAGGAACACCGGUGGCGAAGGCGGGUCUCUGGGCCGUAACUGACGCUGAGGAGCGAAAGCAUGGGGAGCGAACAGG